UAGCUUUGAACUUGCAGUUCCCAUUUGUGUCUUAAGUCCACUAGUUCUGUCAGAGUGGGCAAUUAAUAAGGUACACAUAGUUAUGAAUUCCGAUGGCUGAAGUAUUUCUCUUUAAUUGCUUGAAUGAACAGAAAUGCACAAGGAAAAUAACUUCAUGUAACAGCAGCCUGUUAUUAAAGAGCAAAGUGCCUUCAUAUACAGGGAGGUCUGAGCGGCAUACUCCGUGGCGGCUGUAUGUGGCUACCCUACUGAAGAGACCCUGUGGAGAGGCCAUGUGAAGAGGAGAAAUCCUGAGACUACGUGGAGGUCCAGUCACCCCAGUAUCCCAGAUCCCAGGGGAACCUCCAGAUGACUCCAGCCUCGGCCACUCUCUGACUGAAGUCCCCCGAGGAGAAGCCUCCUGAUCAACCCACAGCAUUGUGGGUGGUAAUAAAAGGUUGUCAUUGUUGGAAGCCA